AUAAGACGAGACGACCCUAUGGAGCUUAAAUUAAUUCAACUAUAACACUAUAACCCCUACAAGGCAUAACCUAUUAUUCUACUGAAUUAACAGUUUUGGUUGGGGUGACCUUAGAGAAUAAAAAAAAUUACAAAUCACUUAUUGACCCAAUUUUUGAUCAACGGAACAAGUUACCCUAGGGAUAAGAAUGCAAUCCUAUUUUAGAGUCCUUAUCAAUAACUAUUUUUUUUUUUAUCAAUAACUGGAAACCCUGGUGGCAUUGUGGUUAAGAGCUAUGGCUGCUAGCCAAAAGGCUGGCAGUUCAAAUCCACCAGACACUCCUUGGAAACUCUAUGGUGCAGUUCUACUCUGUACUAUAGGGUCGCUAUGAGUUGGAAUUGACUUGACGGCAAUGGGUUUGGUUUUAGUUUUAUCGAUAAUAGUGUUUACGACCUCGAUGUUGGAUCAGGACAUCCCAGUGGUGCAGCCGCUGUUAAAGGUUACUUUGUCCAAUGAUUAAAGUCCUAUGUGAUCUGAGUUCAGACCGGAGUAAUCCAGCUCGGUUUCUAUCUAU
rnacentral:ncRNA from 1 species